UGGGGAAUAUUGGACAAUGGGCGAAAGCCUGAUCCAGCCAUGCCGCGUGUGUGAAGAAGGUCUUCGGAUUGUAAAGCACUUUAAGUUGGGAGGAAGUGCAGUAAGCGAGUACCUUGCUGUUUUGACGUUACCGACAGAAUAAGCACCGGCUAACUCUGUGCCAGCAGCCGCGGUAAUACAGAGGGUGCAAGCGUUAAUCGGAAUUACUGGGCGUAAAGCGCGCGUAGGUGGUUCGUUAAGUUGAAUGUGAAAGCCCCGGGCUCAACCUGGGAACUGCAUCCAAAACUGGCGAGCUAGAGUAGGGCAGAGGGUGGUGGAAUUUCCUGUGUAGCGGUGAAAUGCGUAGAUAUAGGAAGGAACACCAGUGGCGAAGGCGACCACCUGGGCUCAUACUGACACUGAGGUGCGAAAGCGUGGGGAGCAAACAGG
rnacentral:rRNA from 1 species